GUGGCAGCCGCCGCGGUAAUACGGAGGGUGCAAGCGUUAUCCGGAUUCAUUGGGUUUAAAGGGUGCGCAGGCGGAUACUUAAGUCAGUGGUGAAAUCCCGGGGCUCAACCCCGGAACUGCCAUUGAUACUGAAUAUCUGGAAUACGGUUGAAGUGGGCGGAAUGUAGCAUGUAGCGGUGAAAUGCAUAGAGAUGCUACAGAACACCGAUCGCGAAGGCAGCUCACUAAGCCGAUAUUGACGCUCAGGCACGAAAGCGUGGGGAGCGAACAGGAUUAGAUACCCUGGUAGUCCACGCCGUAAACGAUGAUAACUCGUUGUUGGCGACACACAGUCAGCGACUAAGCGAAAGCGAUAAGUUAUCCACCUGGGGAGUACGAUCGCAAGGUUGAAACUUAAAGGAAUUGGCGG
rnacentral:rRNA from 1 species